GCUCGGGAGAACAUCUAGCGGAAGUACGUUGUUCCCUCCGGUCUACCGAUUACGUCCUUACGUCCUGUCUAUCCUUAGAGAUUAUCCUUAAACUUAUCGUACUGCGAUCGAAUCGUUGUCACACGUUUGUUGAUCAAGGAUAAUUCUAACCGUAUUUGAGUGUCAAGUAUUGAUGAUUUAUCGUAGAAUUCGUAAUACAAUAAUUGAAGAGUUUUCAAACAUUGGGGAUCAUCCUUAUAGUUCUACUAUUGAAGUGUUAUCAAACGUGUAUUUUCAACCUUAUCACUAGAAAGUUUAUUUAUCUGUUUUCUCAAUAAUAUAACAAUUGCUUCUAAGCUUAAGCACAUUAAGUGAAUUGAUUCAUUCUAUAGCAAUGAAUUAGAGUGAUAUACGUACGAUAUUGUUUAUGUUAGUCAUGGAGUGUAGUUGAUUCGUAGAUUGUGUGUUAUAAAUAGUGUUUCAAAAAUCCCCAAAAGUGCUAGAAGUGUUGAGAUGCAACUAAUCUGUUGAAAAGUGUUGAGAAAUCUGACGUGUGUUAAAUGGAAUCGAUUACACAUGCAACAUUGGUUUGUUAAAAGAAAUUCCUUGCACGAAAAUUUGUGAAUUGAAUUUGGAAGAGUUGUGUUUGAGUUUGUAAUUAGGAUUGAUUAUUUGUUGAAUGAAAAUAGUUGGAUUGAAUUCAGGAGAUUUUGAAAGAAUUGAGCUAUUGUAACAGAGUGACAUAAUCAAUUGAUAAUUGUAAGUAAUUGGUGAAAUAAUUGAGUGACAGCUUAAGUUUAUUUUGAAACCUUACACAUGAGAAAGAGUUUAAGAAUACAAGUUCAGUUAACGUGAGCUCGGUUUGUUCAAUGUGAAAACCUGUGAGUGGAUUCGAAACGUGUUUCAUCAAAAAUAUACCAAUAAAUUCUGGUGAUGUUAUCAAGAUCUUUUCCAAUUUGGAUGAUGAAAACCCGGUUCUAGGAUUGACCUAGAUUGAAGGGAGAUGCAGACUAAGAAUGUGAACGUAGCACCCCUCAAUAAUACAGUCUGCAGUUCAGCUGAGGUGGGGACUGCAGCAGCUGAUAGUGGAUCCUCAGUGCCUCCUCUUCCACCACGACCCCCUCAUCAAACAGG